rnacentral:lncRNA from 1 species
UCUGGAGCUAGACAACACAGUAAAAAUGCCAGCAGUUUUAUGGCUAAAUGCUUGAGGAUGCGGGGGAGAGCAAGCAAACUCUCACCCUCAGACUCUUUAGAUUUUUGUGGUAUCGCUUUAAGACAGAGUCCAGCCUUGGAAAUGAUAGCAGGUACGAAUAUGAAAACUGGUGGACUGGCUCUGGUCUGGGGUAGUGCAAAUUACCUGCCUGGCUGGGAGAGGAAGGACUUGCUAAUAGCUGUUAGCACAGAGGGCCCACCCCAUCAGCCAGUGAAUUCUGUUGAGCCAGAGAAAUCAGGGUUUGAUCCUGCAGGACAAGGAGGAAAGAGAAAACUGAAUUUUGCAAAGGGAAGCCACAGGUUAACCCUAAAAUGCCCAAACUCCAAUGGUAUUGAGCCAAAGGUGUGGCAUGACAAACAUGAUUGUAGAUGGACACUUGCAAUGAACUGGUUGUUAUUGCUAAAUUUUGUAAUGAAUGUGUUGCUAUUGCCACAAACUGUGAAAAUGUACAAUGUGCCUAAUCUUUUGGAGAAUCCCUUGAACAUGUUAAAAGGAAUACAUGAGAACACACGUUAUGUUAAAAGGCCUUGUUACACUGGUGUUUCACAGUUCAUGCCUAUAAACAAUAUGGGAACUUUUCACAGGGGAAAAGACAUUCCAGACCUAAUGUGCUGUAUGAAAAGGAAGACUGAGGCACACUACCAUAUUGCUUUCAUGGCUAAAUGCCAAGAUUCCUGUACUAUGAAGAACAUUAAUAUCUGCAUUUAUUCGAUGUUAAUGGGGUUCCAAACAUUUGCCCGAGCUUGUAUGGAUAAAGUAGCGGUUUUCUUUAGCUCUUGGCAAGAUCACAUGAGACAUACAGGAACGAUGCUGCCAGAGCAGAUCCAAUCCACUAUUGUUCUAACUAAGUUUUACCUUGAGGAACAGAACCCAGGAUGGGGAGCUCUUGGGAUGCAGUCAGUGAUGUUUGUGUCAUCCCUUCCUGCAUCAAUUUUGCGUUGGGGGUGUGACGUUAUUGACAUAAACGGGGAUCGCCUAGAUCAUUGUAGCAACCAAGUUCCUGUAGUGNNNNNNNNNNNNNNNN